rnacentral:rRNA from 1 species
GCCCUUGGGUGGUAAUGCCGGAUGCUCCAGUUGGAUGCAUGUCCUUCUGGGAAAGAUUCUAUCGGUAUGGGAUGGGGUCGCGUCCUAUCAGCUUGAUGGCGGGGUAACGGCCCACCAUGGCUUCGACGGGUAGCCGGCCUGAGAGGGCGACCGGCCACAUUGGGACUGAGAUACGGCCCAGACUCCUACGGGAGGCAGCAGUGGGGAAUAUUGCACAAUGGGCGCAAGCCUGAUGCAGCGACGCCGCGUGCGGGAUGACGGCCUUCGGGUUGUAAACCGCUUUUGACUGGGAGCAAGCCCUUCGGGGUGAGUGUACCUUUCGAAUAAGCACCGGCUAACUACGUGCCAGCAGCCGCGGUAAUACGUAGGGUGCAAGCGUUAUCCGGAAUUAUUGGGCGUAAAGGGCUCGUAGGCGGUUCGUCGCGUCCGGUGUGAAAGUCCAUCGCUUAACGGUGGAUCCGCGCCGGGUACGGGCGGGCUUGAGUGCGGUAGGGGAGACUGGAAUUCCCGGUGUAACGGCGGAAGGGC